ensembl:lncRNA
GUAAGUGACCCUCCUCUCAGUCCCACGUGUGUACCAGGGGCUUUACAGAAGCGCAGGCUCGCAGCGCGAACGUUCUCCAACCGGAGAGCGUAUCUGGCCCAAGCUUCCCUCCCCUUUCCCGCAGUCGCCUCCUCCUCUUCCUCCUCUCACCGCCUGAGUCUUAACACCAGCGCCAGCCGGGCCCUUGGCCUCGGAGAUCUUGUUGAGUCCCCCUGUGUUCUGGGCGCUGUGCUGGGCCCCCUGGUUCUACAAUCUUAGUUAAUCGUUCAAAGCAUAUAGCAAGAUUGGAGCUGCGGGAGACAGCCUUUCACUUUAAGAGGAGAAGUACCUGUCAAGAAGCUGUACUUGUUCUCCCAUGUAUAUUUUUGGUAAAGCCGAUGGAGAACCAGGAGACUGAAGUGGAGCAGCAUACUCAUUGCUUAUCCUUUUCUUCCCAAAUCUCCCAACCCCCUGAUUAUAUUAUAAC